rnacentral:rRNA from 1 species
AUGUCGAUCACCUCCACCGCCGCCGCCGGGACCCCGGUCUGCCGGCCGUCCGUCUCCAGGGGUGGACGGCGGAGCAGGUGCGCCGUCCGAGCCCAAGCGGCCGGAGACGGUGGAGCCGCCGCCGACGGGGCGUCGUCGGAGCAGAAGUCUCUGGAGAUAAUGCGCAAGUUCUCGGAGCAGUACGCCCGCCGCUCCAGCACCUUCUUCUGCUCCGACAAGUCCGUCACCGCCGUCGUCAUCAAGGGCCUUGCUGACCACAAGGAUCAACUCGGAGCACCUCUCUGCCCCUGCAGGCAUUACGACGACAAGGCCGCCGAGGCCGCGCAAGGGUUCUGGAACUGCCCGUGCGUCCCCAUGCGAGAAAGGAAGGAGUGCCAUUGCAUGCUUUUCCUUACGCCCGACAACGAUUUUGCCGGAGAGGACCAGGCCAUCAGCUUGGAGGAGAUCAAGGAGGCGACGUCCAAGUACUAA